GAUGAACGCUGGCGGCGUGCCUAAUACAUGCAUGUAGAACGCUGAAGGAGGAGCUUGCUCUUCUGGAUGAGUUGCGAACGGGUGAGUAACGCGUAGGUAACCUGCCUGGUAGCGGGGGAUAACUAUUGGAAACGAUAGCUAAUACCGCAUGACAACAGUUAUUGCAUGAUAACUGUUUAAAAGGGGCAACUGCUCCACUACCAGAUGGACCUGCGUUGUAUUAGCUAGUUGGUGAGGUAACGGCUCACCAAGGCGACGAUACAUAGCCGACCUGAGAGGGUGAUCGGCCACACUGGGACUGAGACACGGCCCAGACUCCUACGGGAGGCAGCAGUAGGGAAUCUUCGGCAAUGGACGGAAGUCUGACCGAGCAACGCCGCGUGAGUGAAGAAGGUUGUCGGAUCGUAAAGCUCGGUUGUAAGAGAAGAACGAGUGUGAGAGUGGAAAGUUCACACUGUGACGGUAUCUUACCAGAAAGGGACGGCUAACUACGUG
rnacentral:rRNA from 1 species